rnacentral:rRNA from 1 species
GUCCUUUUGAGUUUAAUAUAAGGUCUGACCUGCCCACUGAUGUUUUGAAUGGCCGCAGUAUUUUGACUGUGCAAAGGUAGCAUAAUCAUUAGUUUUUUAAUUAAAAGCUUGUAUGAAGGGUUGGACGAGGUAAAAACUGUCUCUAUUUAAUUUAAAUUAGAAUUUAAUUUUUAAGUUAAAAAGCUUAAAUAUAUUUAAAAGACGAGAAGACCCUAUAGAUCUUAAUAUUAAUUUUUUUAAUUUUAAUAAAGAAUUUUUUAUUAAUUAAUAAUAUUAAUAUUUUAUUGGGGUAAUAGAAAGAUUAAAAUAAUUCUUUUUUUAUUUUUACAUUAAUAAAUGAAUUUAUGAUCCAAUAAUAUUGAUUAAAAGAUUAAGUUACCUUAGGGAUAACAGCGUAAUUUUUUUAGAGAGUUCAUAUCGAUAAAAAAGUUUGCGACCUCGAUGUUGGAUUAAAAAUUAUCUUAGGUGUAGAAGUUUAAGAUUUUGGUCUGUUCGACCAUUGAAUUUUUACA